rnacentral:rRNA from 1 species
GACGAACGCUGGCGGCGUGCCUAAUACAUGCAAGUCGAACGCUUUUUCUUUCACCGGAGCUUGCUACACCGAAAGAAAAAGAGUGGCGAACGGGUGAGUAACACGUGGGUAACCUGCCCAUCAGAAGGGGAUAACACUUGGAAACAGGUGCUAAUACCGUAUAACACUAUUUUCCGCAUGGAAGAAAGUUGAAAGGCGCUUUUGCGUCACUGAUGGAUGGACCCGCGGUGCAUUAGCUAGUUGGUGAGGUAACGGCUCACCAAGGCAACGAUGCAUAGCCGACCUGAGAGGGUGAUCGGCCACACUGGGACUGAGACACGGCCCAGACUCCUACGGGAGGCAGCAGUAGGGAAUCUUCGGCAAUGGACGAAAGUCUGACCGAGCAACGCCGCGUGAGUGAAGAAGGUUUUCGGAUCGUAAAACUCUGUUGUUAGAGAAGAACAAGGAUGAGAGUAAAACGUUCAUCCCUUGACGUAUCUAACCAGAAGCCAC